GGCUGGUUACAUAACUGUCCCGGCAGUCCCAGGGGAUCACUGAGUCCUGUUUAGUUUAUCAUGGCCGAGGCAUGAGACCACACUGUUUCCUUUACGGAGCCGUUUCCACACAACCACGAGAAAUUAGGCUCUGGCUGGGAAGUAUCGAUGAUCCUGCAAGCACUUGAGUUGUUACACACCAAUCCCUUCCUCCCUACUCUCCUGGACCAACACCAUGGACUGCUAUACUGCUUGAGCUUUCCCCCGAUCAGUGUUAGUAAACCCUUUACCCCUAACUGCCACAAACUGGUCUGCCGUCACAGCCCCCUGCGUGAACUGCACCAGAUCACAGGGGGCGCCAGAGAGUGAUGCAGGAGCCAGCUCUGCUGGACCCAAUAUCAAACACAAGAGGUUUCAGAGAUAUGAAGAAAUUUACGCAUUGACUGUGCCAGGAGGACUGUGUUACAGGGGGUUUCCCAUGGAAAAGGAGGAAAUGUGGACAGUUGGAAUUGUGACAAUUGGGACAAUUUUAAGUAAACUUCAUCAAGAUAUCUCGGUGGUGUUCUCCCUGCUUCCCGCCCAACAUGUACAAUGGAGUCCUGCUGAGUUCACUACCCUGCUGAAAAAAAAAGAAGUUUUGAAAUAGUGGGUAGCUGGAUGACCAGUUAGACCAGCUCCAUACUCAACAUGGUUUGACCAGCUGAAGCUGUGUUUUGAAAGAGCUGGUAGCUGGUAUUUCAAGCUGGUCAUAGCUGGAUCUUACACCAGGGAAGGGAAAUAGUGUCCAUCUUAGCGGAAAUCCCUAACGUUGUGUGACGUACUAGCUUCCUGGGGUGGCAGUAUUCACACAUCACUGGUUGCUUAACAUGUUGCAUACACAUAUGCACUUUGGCAGAACCACAUACACACACACACACACACACACAGAAACAUAACAUGUUAGUUUGUCAGUAUCACUCUUCUUUUGCAAUAAAUCCGAGUCCUAAAAUACCUAUUUGAAGACAGUGAUCGGUGAUGACCCCAGUGGACCGCUAGCUUAAAUCGUACAGAUUUGCACUAAGCUUUAACUGUGGAUGAUUCAACGGAAGGCAGUAUGAGCAUCAUUGACGUUGCACUGUUUUGUAGAUUAGGAUUAUAGCUGUUGUUUUGUGUUUGACAUGAUUCAAAGCAGACCAUUGUGGGUGGCCUGGUUUUGUUUUCAUAAACUACACUGUAUUUCAAGAGCUGAGUCUGUAUCUGUCCUCCAGUGUAUAUACCAAGCGGACACAUGGCCAGGUAUCAAAUCAAUGAAAAGGAAAGGGAUGUUGAUUUCACAAGAGAACAUCCAUAAGAAAAUAGCAUGGUAUAUUAAUGGUGGACUAUGGAGAACUAAAAGGAAAAUGAAAAGUGUUGAACGUUUGGGUGCCAUCCAUGGUGUCCCUAAUGUGCCUGAGGCUUCCUAGUGUGCCAAUUAGAUAUUAUGGUUAAUAUUACAGUUACAUAUUCUUCUUCACUUUUAUAUUUUUUACCAGAAAAGAACACAAGGGACCCUUUACUGAUGAUCAUGUAGUGGUUGUAUAUGUGUUUGUGAUGCAGGAUACGCACCGGAUGCUUGAAAGGUUUACGGUUUAUAUUUUGCUGAUGUUUUUUGUUCAGCUUGUGUUGCGCCAUGUCAAUAUCCAUGAUUCAGAAUGUUAUUUUUAUUUUUUAGGGGGGAGGGGGUAGUGGGAUUGGGUCAAUCUGAAACCAAAUUUUUUAAAGAGACUGAAUUUCAAGGUACAGAAGGUAUACACUUAACAUGUACAUUUCUUUAAAAGAAGCCAGUCCAUUGACCUGACAUGGGUAUAUGUUGGGCAAUGCUUUCUGUUGGUACCUCCAGUACUCCAUGAUACUUUUCUAUAAGACUGCUUAAUUUAUGAUGCUGUUGGUCAAGAAGAGCCCUUACAGAAAUUGUAUAUAUGUCCCUAUAUAAAAACUGACAUAUAUGAAUGAUACUUAUAUUCGAUUUCUGUAUGGGCUUGCUUGGUAUUAAUAAAUAAGAAUUUGUAUUAAUCUAUUUAAAAAAAACAUAAAAAAUGAGUAUAUGUUAACAUGCUGUAUGAUUACGAAAAUGAAAUGAAAAUGAUCCAUGGCAAGGUCCACAGUAUUGUAAAUGCACAGCUGAAGUAGCAGUAUAAUUUACAUAUUUCCAAUCUAAAUUAAAAAUAUAUUCCCUGUAUUUUCACAUAAAUUACCAUAUUACCCCCAGAUGGGGCUGGCUCAUAUUCUCUGUUCCAUAAGGACCUACUUACCAGAUUUUCCUGAGCAGGUUUCUAUAGGCAAGUCAGAUACACAUUCUAUAUAUAGUCCCAGUCAGUGGGUGCAGCAAUGGGGUGGGGGGAGAGGCACAUGUGCCAUUAGCCCAGUAUUACUCACGAGACAGGUAGGGGGUCAUAUUAUUGCAAAUUAUAUGACCCCCAGGCUCUUUCUAACAUCCACAGUCCCCACUGUCCCAUUCCUGUCUCCCAAGACUAUAUUUUCUGAAAGCUACCACUCUGAAUUUCUCAAAUUCUAUAUUGCAUGUAGCAUAUUGGAUGUUGAGUAAUUGCUAGGUAGGUUAUGAGACGCUAGCUAUUUAUUCAGCACUGAAUUCAAACUCCAUUCCAGCAUAGCUUUUUGCUUUACCCCUCUGGCAUCUGUUGAUUAGGUAACCUUGACGACACAAAAUCUCAGAGAUUCUGUCUGUAGGAUCCUGCUCCCCCAAACACACUGUAGUUGGGGAGGGAGUAGGCAGCAGUGUCCUACUUAGUUUCCUUUCAAAGCUGCUGAAGCCUGGUGCAAAGUUUGCUUACUGCUCCCAUUGUAAAUUGGCCUGUUCUAUAGGAUGCUUUUGUCAGGUUUGGGCUCAUAUCAGUGUAAAUAUUACAGCAGUACCACUGUACAAACUGAAAUUCCUGUACGUGUAUGUAUAUUCAAGACCAGUGAAAAGAAGCUGUUCUACUUGUUCCUUUUUAACCGUGAAAACCUUUCAGCUUAUGCCUGCAAUAUCUUUCAAUACUGUAGGUCCUGUCUAUUUUUUAAUUAGUGCUUUUAUUAGAUUACUAUUCCGAGCUAUAGUAAUAAUAACUACAGGAAAUGUAUUGUUGUAUUCUGUGCCUGUUUUAAGUUAUUUAAUUACCUAAUAGCUUAUAUAUUUUAAUAUCCACCCAUCAAAAAGGACAUUAUUCACACAAUUACAGUGGACGAGACGGUGAGGAGAGUGUUGUGUCAAAGCUUUCCGGGUCUCACAUUCAGGUCACCGUCCUGACCUUUGCAGAUAAGUACCCUGGGAAAUGGAGUCCGUUCCCUGGUGCAACGUGGCUGUGCGCUGUUGGUGGUGUCCCCUUCCAGCAUGCCUUCUUCACAAAGCCCUCAGCAUGAUAAUGACAGCGUACUGGUGGUGUGGGGGCGUGGAGGCGUUAUCCUAACUUUGAGGGGCAGAGCUUGGAACAGUGCCUGAGAGAGGAGGUUCGAGGGAUCAGGUGACUUCAGAACUGGCAGGUGUGAAAUCACUGAGCCAAAGUAUUUCCUGUUUCAUUGGCUCUCUAUAAAACCCCGUUUUAGCGGGCCUGGUUUCCAUCUGGCAAAGCCACUUGGAUGUGUUUUGUACUCCCUAAAAAAGUCUCUAUUUAAUCCACUUUAUUUCCCUUAACUUCAAACCCUUGUUUUUAUUUUCAAUCUUAUGGAUUCCUCCCAACCCUGUUUCUCUUUUACAUGUGCAUGCCAUAUUGAAAACAAACUGUGAAUAGGUCAAAUCGAAUAAAGAAAAAUACAGUAAACUGGGGAGACCUCAACUUUGUAAGGAUAACAUUUUGGCAGCAUUAUUUUUCCAUAGCUGCAGGUUUUUGGUAAGAUGUAUGGAGUAUGUGUAAAAACUGAGUUUUGUAAAUGCCUUCAACAGUGUUGGCCUGCAAGAACUGAACAAACUUCUAUUUUCAUAAUCAAGAUGGUUUUUGUUUUUUUUGAUGUUUUUAAAAAAAUUAAAAAAAGAUGAAUGGGGUGAUGCACUUAGACUGUCAACGUCAUAAAAAAAAUAUUCGGAGGGCUACUGUGACUUGUUUUUCCUGAUAGAUGUAACAUUUUGCAAAAUACACAUGAACUCAAAUGUGG